rnacentral:tRNA from 2 species
GCGACACUAGCUCAGUUGGUAGAGCGCAACCUUGCCAAGGUUGAGGUCACGAGUUCGAAGCUCGUGUGUCGCUCCA